CCCUUAGAUGUUCUGGGCCGCACGCGCGCUACACUGACGGAGUCAACGAGUUGUCCUGCAUCGGAAGGUGUGGGUAAUCUUUUGAAACUUCGUCGUGCUGGGGAUAGAUCUUUGCAAUUUUCGAUCUUGAACGAGGAAUUCCUAGUAAGCGUGAUUCAUCAGAUCGCGUUGAUUACGUCCCUGCCCUUUGUACACACCGCCCGUCGCUACUACCGAUUGAAUGGUUUAGUGAGGCCUCGGGACUGGCGCGCUCGAGUAGCAAUACACCUGCGCGCCGGGAACUUGGUCAAACUUGNUNAUUUAUNGGAAGUAAAANUCGUANCA
rnacentral:rRNA from 1 species